CUCCCCACAGGUGAGGUCUGUGGUUCUUUUCUUCAGUGUUGAACUUAGGUUCUCCAUAGCACUGUCUCUGAACUAGAGAUGUCCCAAGUGCCAAGCUUUGGAUCUUGUGAUCAUGCAGAACAAGGGAAUAAGUGAAAGAGGAUAGGGGAGAAAGGAUGGAGAGGAAGUUCAAAUCACCAAAAGAAACAUAACAGUUUCUUUGUUGCAAAAGAGGACACGAAUGACUAAUCUCAUAGAGAUACUGAGAAACUGAGGAGAAACUCCGUGUCAACUCCAUGGAUGGUAUGGGCACAACAAGAGUGCUCAGAAACGCCAGCUUUGACAACGGGGCAGGACUUGACUUUGUGUGUAGCUUUCAGAGGAGAUGAGGAAGGUGAAGAAUACCCAGGGCCUGCAUCUUUGUUCCUGGGGUCCUGUCCACAUGGGACAGAUAGUCCACCCAAAAGUUAGCAAGCCACUUAAUUUAAUUGAGAAAAGGAAAGCAAUUUUUUUUCUUCAUCCAUCAUCUGGCUGUUUAGGGUUUUAAUAUCAGAUGCAAUUUCUAAUUACUUUCUUGUGAAACAAAUGGCUAGCAACAUCUACCUUUCAGAUCUGAGAGAAUGAAAUCUUAAAUGGGUUAAAUAACUUAUGCCCAAUCCUACAUUGAGAUCAUUGAAGAGAAGGAGCCUGACCUCUGACCUUAUAAACUAUAGGGCUAGGCCCCCUAAUAAAUCUCCUCCCUCCCUGUCACUCACUGUCUAGCAAGAUCCUUCUCCCACUGUGGUUGAGCUGGUCAUACAGGAUGAAAUGAUUUUAUUAGAACAAGCCAUGCUCAGAAACAGAAAUGUCACCUCAGAUAUCUUCUGGGAUAUUUAUUUUAAUACAAAGGUUAGUUCUAUCUACAAUGGGCAAAUACUAAGCCAUCGAUUCUCUGAGGCUUCCCUGACAGCCAAGAAUGGAAGCAGAUCAAGAAGCUAGCUCUGAAGAGUCAGCAGAAGGGCAUGGGGGGCAUCUGGCACCCCUUUUAAUGGUACAUUGAAGUCCUGACUGCUGAAUACAGGGGGGAAAAAAACAAAAAAGAUUAAUGGGCCAGAGUCUCUGGAGGAUUCAUGGCCGACAGACAUGAGCUGCUUGUUCCCGUUUAGUAUCUCUGCAUCUUCCUGACGGCUGAAUUUUACUAUUUGACUCCUUCCAUCCCUUUUAACAACAGGCUGCACAUAAAAUAAAAUCUAUUGAAUCUGAGAUGAAGCCCUAGGCUGAUGCUUUAUGAGAUAUUCUGGAACAUUUUUCCAAGUUUAUUUACAAGAGGGGAGUCUUUAUAUUCCACUUAUUGGACAUAUUAAUUGUUUUUGUUUUUG